GUUGAACGCUGGCGGCAGGCUUAACACAUGCAAGUCGAGCGAAGCGGCUGCCGGAUGGUUCAUGCCUAGAAAUCUGCCUGGUAGUUGGGGAUCACGUCCUGCAACGGGCGCUAAUACUGCAUACUUUAAGAUCAACCUAGGUCUGAUUCGAUAGUUGGUGGGGUAAAGACAUACCAAGGCGACGCACCGUAACUGGUCUGGGAGGAUGAUCAGUCACACUGGAACUGAGACACGGUCCAGACUCCUACGGGAGGCAGCAGUGGGGAAUAUUGGACAAUGGGCGAAAGUCUGAUCCAGCAAUGCCGCGUGAGUGAAGAAGGUCUUCGGAUUGUAAAGCACUGUAAUUAGGGAGGCGGUACCAACAGAAUAAGCAACGGCUAACUACGUGCCAGCAGCCGCGGUAAUAC
rnacentral:rRNA from 1 species